rnacentral:rRNA from 1 species
AUUGAACGCUGGCGGCAGGCCUAACACAUGCAAGUCGAGCGGUGCGGCGGACGGGUGAGUAAUUCCUAGGAAUCUGCCUGGUUGUGGAGUAUAAGGGCCGGAAACGGGCACUAAUACCGCAUACUAUCAGAUGAGCCUAUGUCGGAUUAGCUAGUUGGUGGGGUAAAGGCCUACCAAGGCGACGAUCCGUAACUGGUCUGAGAGGAUGAGCAGUCACACUGGAACUGAGACACGGUCCAGACUCCGACGGGAGGCAGCAGUGGGGAAUAUUGGACAAUGGGCGAAAGCCUGAUCCAGCCAUGCCGCGUGUGUGAAGAAGGUCAUCGGAUUGUAAAGAACUUUAAGUUGGGAGGCGUUACCAACAGAAGAAGCACCGGCUAACUUCGUGCCAGCAGCCGCGGUAAUUC